rnacentral:tRNA from 3 species
GGCGAGAUGGCCGAGCGGUCUAAGGCGGUUAGUAAAAGGGGCGUGGGUUCAAAUCCCACUCUCGUCA